CUGGUUGAUCCUGCCAGUAGUCAUAUGCUUGUCUCAAAGAUUAAGCCAUGCAUGUCUAAGUAUAAGUUCUGUACUGCGAAACUGUGAAUGGCUCAUUAUAACAGUUAUUAUUCCCUGGCCGGUCAGUGAUUCCUUGGAUACCCAUGGUAAUUCUAGAGCUAAUACAUGCUUAAAAACCCGACUUCUUGAAGGGUUGCGCUUAUUAGAUACCGAACCAACCCAGGCUCUGUCUGGUUUUCGUGGAUUCAUAGUGUUCUGGCGAAUCGACUCGCAAGAGUCGAUGAGGCUAUCAAGUUUCUGACCUAUCAGCUUCCGACGGUAGGAUAUUGGCCUACCGUGGCUUUGACGGGUAACGGAGAAUUAGGGUUCGAUUCCGGAGAGGGAGCCUGAGAAACGGCUACCACAUCUAAGGAAGGCAGCAGGCGCGUAAAUUACCCAAUCCUGACACAGGGAGGUAGUGACAAGAAAUAUCAAUAUAAGACGUUUCUGUCUUGUAAUUGGGAUGAGCGAAACAUAAACCGCUUCUCGAGUAUCAAUUGGAGGGCAAGUCUGGU
rnacentral:rRNA from 1 species